rnacentral:lncRNA from 1 species
UUCUAUUCUUCUGCAUGGCUUGCUUGCCUGAUGUAGUGCAACCUUCAUGACGCUACAACAAGAUGAAACCAAUCCCAUUGUUAGCUGACAAACAAACCCAAUUCUCAUUUUCAUAAAUUCUUCAUCGCCCUUCCGAUCAAACUACGAAACCCUCUCAAACUCAGAGAAUCCUAAAACUUUGAUGUUUUUAUCAACAAUUAAGGUAUUUGAUAGCUGAUUCAUAAUUCCAGUGAUAGUGCCUUUUGGGUUUCAUUAAAGCAUUUUCACAAACACCUGCAAAGUACACUUCAAAAAUGGACUCCGAAGUCACCAGUAUUGCACCAUCCUCUCUCUCCAGUUCUCCAUGCCGGUCAGUCUGCUAUGCUAAGAGCUCGUCAUGGGACUCUCACAAUGGAGAGAAAACGGCCCCGUCGUUCCACUACAUGUCGGUUCUUAGCCUUAUGGAUCUCCACCUCAUUCUCGCUCCUUUACUCGCCGCCACUCUCAUGAGUCCUCCUCUAGCAAAAUUUUCGGGUCAUUGAAUUCUUGAUCACGCGAAAUCU